AUUGAACGCUGGCGGUAGGCCUAACACAUGCAAGUCGAACGGCAGCACAGUAAUAGCUUGCUCUUACGGGUGGCGAGUGGCGGACGGGUGAGGAAUACAUCGGAAGUUACUUUUUCUUGGGGGAUAACGUAGGGGAACUUACGCUAAUACCGCAUACGACCUACGGGUGAAAGCAGGGGAUCUUCGGACCUUGCGCGAUUGAAUGAGCCGAUGUCGGAUUAGCUAGUUGGCGGGGUAAAGGCCCACCAAGGCGACGAUCCGUAGCUGGUCUGAGAGGAUGAUCAGCCACACUGGAACUGAGACACGGUCCAGACUCCUACGGGAGGCAGCAGUGGGGAAUAUUGGACAAUGGGCGCAAGCCUGAUCCAGCCAUACCGCGUGGGUGAAGAAGGCCUUCGGGUUGUAAAGCCCUUUUGUUGGGAAAGAAAAGCAGCAGGUUAAUACCCCGCUGUUCUGACGGUACCCAAAGAAUAAGCACCGGCUAACUUCGUG
rnacentral:rRNA from 1 species